GACGAACGCUGGCGGCGUGCUUAACACAUGCAAGUCGAACGGAAAGGCCCUGCUUUUGUGGGGUGCUCGAGUGGCGAACGGGUGAGUAACACGUGAGUAACCUGCCCUUGACUUUGGGAUAACUUCAGGAAAAUGGGGCUAAUACCGGAUAGGAGCUCCUGCUGCAUGGUGGGGGUUGGAAAGUUUCGGCGGUUGGGGAUGGACUCGCGGCUUAUCAGCUUGUUGGUGGGGUAGUGGCUUACCAAGGCUUUGACGGGUAGCCGGCCUGAGAGGGUGACCGGCCACAUUGGGACUGAGAUACGGCCCAGACUCCUACGGGAGGCAGCAGUGGGGAAUCUUGCACAAUGGGCGGAAGCCUGAUGCAGCAACGCCGCGUGCGGGAUGACGGCCUUCGGGUUGUAAACCGCUUUCGCCUGUGACGAAGCGUGAGUGACGGUAAUGGGUAAAGAAGCACCGGCUAACUACGUG
rnacentral:rRNA from 1 species